GGAGCAUGUGCUGUUCACCUUGAG
rnacentral:siRNA from 1 species